AUUGAACGCUGGCGGCAUGCCUUACACAUGCAAGUCGAACGGUAACAGGUCUUCGGAUGCUGACGAGUGGCGAACGGGUGAGUAAUACAUCGGAACGUGCCUAGUAGUGGGGGAUAACUACUCGAAAGAGUGGCUAAUACCGCAUGAGAUCUACGGAUGAAAGCAGGGGAUCGCAAGACCUUGUGCUACUAGAGCGGCCGAUGGCAGAUUAGGUAGUUGGUGGGAUAAAAGCUUACCAAGCCGACGAUCUGUAGCUGGUCUGAGAGGACGAUCAGCCACACUGGGACUGAGACACGGCCCAGACUCCUACGGGAGGCAGCAGUGGGGAAUUUUGGACAAUGGGCGCAAGCCUGAUCCAGCAAUGCCGCGCGCAGGAAGAAGGCCUUCGGGUUGUAAACUGCUUUUGUACGGAACGAAACGGCUCUGGUUAAUACCUGGGGCUAAUGACGGUACCGUAAGAAUAAGCACCGGCUAACUACGUGCCAGCCGCCGCGGUAA
rnacentral:rRNA from 1 species